AUUCUCCCGUGACGGUGACUCCAACGGUUGGCUGAGGACGAUUCCCUGAGCCUUGACAAAGCAGGAGCCCUCCGUGGCGGUGCGUCGGUGUCGAGGCUCCAGUCUGACUAAUCCAGGGGGUCGACAAAACAGAUUCGGGACACUAUGCUACACGGAGGGCCUACCAGGAUGCAGAAACAGCAGACGGAGUCCAGGGAAAGCAGUGCGGCAUCCCAGCCUCAGGCCUGCCCGUACGGUGUUCGGAAAUACUAGGCUUUAGAAUUUCACCAUAUGAAUUUUGGGAGAGAGGAGCACAGUUCAGCCCAUAACUAACACACGCAAGACAAAUCUCUCCUCUGCCUUCUCCUUAUCAGACUACUCAACAUGAAGGCAAUAAGAAUGAAGACCUCUAUGUAUAAUAAUUGACUUCCACUUAAUAAAUAAGGUUACUUGGUACACUGGUCGACAAAACCUUGAAAUGUUGAUGUUUAAGGGCUGUUGAUUGCUGGCAGCAAAGAAGUCCAACUGUGCUGGUACCCGAGAUAGCGUCUCCACAUUUUCUUCCAGGAUCAUCACCUUUGUUCUAAAUAGCUCCCACAUAGUGUGAACAGAAGUCAUAUGUUUUAGAUUUUCUGCCUUGGCACCCAGG
rnacentral:lncRNA from 1 species